rnacentral:rRNA from 1 species
CGGGACGGGUGAGUAAUGUCUGGGAAACUGCCUGAUGGAGGGGGGUAACUACUGGAAACGGUAGCUAAUACCGCAUAACGUCGCAAGACCAAAGAGGGGGACCUUCGGGCCUCUUGCCAUCGGAUGUGCCCAGAUGGGAUUAGCUAGUAGGUGGGGUAACGGCUCACCUAGGCGACGAUCCCUAGCUGGUCUGAGAGGAUGACCAGCCACACUGGAACUGAGACACGGUCCAU